GACGAACGCUGGCGGCGCGCCUAACACAUGCAAGUCGAACGAGCGAGAGAGAGCUUGCUUUCUUGAGCGAGUGGCGAACGGGUGAGUAACGCGUGAGGAACCUGCCUCAAAGAGGGGGACAACAGUUGGAAACGACUGCUAAUACCGCAUAAGCCCACGGUGCCGCCUGGCACAGAGGGAAAAGGAGCAAUCCGCUUUGAGAUGGCCUCGCGUCCGAUUAGCUAGUUGGUGAGGUAACGGCCCACCAAGGCGACGAUCGGUAGCCGGACUGAGAGGUUGAACGGCCACAUUGGGACUGAGACACGGCCCAGACUCCUACGGGAGGCAGCAGUGGGGAAUAUUGCAAAAUGGGGGAAACCCUGAUGCAGCGACGCCGCGUGGAGGAAGAAGGUCUUCGGAUUGUAAACUCCUGUUGUUGGGGAAGAUAAUGACGGUACCCAACAAGGAAGUGACGGCUAACUACGUG
rnacentral:rRNA from 1 species